rnacentral:rRNA from 1 species
UGGGUAACCUGCCCGGAAGUGGGGAAUACCUCGGGGAAACUCGAGCUAAUACCGCAUGACAUCUUUAGGACGAAAGUCCUGACGAUCAAAGCGGGGUCGCAAGAUCUCGCGCUACCGGAUGGGCCCGCGCCCGAUUAGCUAGUUGGUGAGGUAACGGCUCACCAAGGCUUCGAUCGGUAACCGGCCUGAGUGGGCGAUCGGUCACACCGGAACUGAGACACGGUCCGGACUCCGUACGGGAGGCAG